rnacentral:rRNA from 1 species
UGAAUGGCCGCAGUAACCUGACUGUGCUAAGGUAGCAUAAUCACUUGUCUAAUAAAUUUAGACUAGAAUGAAAGGAAAAAAGCAUAAUAACUAUUAAUUAGUAAUAAACCGAAAUCUUUUUUAAAGUGCAAAAACUUUAUUUAAUAAUAUAAACGAGAAGACCCUAGAAAUUUUGUUUCUAUUUUAUUGGGACAAUACUAUAGCAUAAACUUGUAAAACACAUGAUAAUAAUAUAAAUAAAUAAAUUACUCUAGGGAUAACAGCACAAUAGUUAUAAAGAGAUCUAAUCUAAAUAACUGUUUGUGACCUCGAUGUUGAAUCAUUACAAAAUUAAAAUUUGCAGAAGAAUUUAUUUAUCGUCUGUUCGACGAUUUAAAAUUACGUGA